CGACCACAGAACCUCAGGCUGAUAGUUGUUCACUAACUCAUAGAGCUCUGGCAAUGUCUUAGAAACUGGAAAUUGCCGCUUAUGGAAUGAACUGGAUUCAUCCUCAAGGAAGAGCGGAUGAAACCAUUCAAAAAGGGAAUAGUACAGUCCAAAACGCAGAUUUUAAGGUCCUUAAGGGAUUGCAUCAUGUCUGCAGUGCUCCCUGCUAUGUCUCCAGCCAACUGCUAGCACAAGGUUCUGGCUCUGUCACCCAGGCUGGAGUUCAGUGGUGCGAACUUCGCUCACUGCAUCCUCGACCUCCUGGGCUCAAGUGAUGCUCCCACCUCAGCCUACCAAGUAGCUAGGACUACAGGUGUGUACUCCACCACGCCCAGCUAAUUUUGUCUAUUUUUUCAGAGACAGGGUCUCACUUUGCUGCCUAGGCCAGUCUCAAACUCCUGGCCUCAAGCAAUCCUCCUUCCUUGGCCUCCCAAAGUGUUGGAAUUAUAGAUGUGAGCCACUGCACCUAGCCUUAGAUUCAUUUUAAUAAGCUUUUUAAAACAGCUCACUCUUGUUCCUAUCAUUUCUGUGGUAAGCUUCAGAGCAGUGUUGAUAUCUAAAGUCAUACUCAAAGUUACUCAACUUGACAGGCCCUAAUGUCAGACAGUACUAAAACCACUUGAGUCUUCAUUUGAAUAUCACCACCAUAAGCUUACACU
rnacentral:lncRNA from 1 species